GAUAGAUCUCAAAUCAGGUAGGACUACCCGCUGAACUUAAGCAUAUCAAUAAGCGG
rnacentral:rRNA from 1 species